rnacentral:rRNA from 1 species
ACUGAAACAUCUAAGUACCCCGAGGAAAAGAAAUCAACCGAGAUUCCGAAAGUAGCGGCGAGCGAAAUUGGAUUAGCCCUUAAGCUUUACAUGUGUUAGACGAACGGUCUGGAAAGUCCGACGAUACAGGGUGAUAGUCCCGUAGUUGACGAUGCAUGUUCAGUGAAAUCGAGUAGGGCGGGACACGUGUUAUCCUGUCUGAAUAUGGGGGGACCAUCCUCCAAGGCUAAAUACUCCUGACUGACCGAUAGUGAACCAGUACCGUGAGGGAAAGGCGAAAAGAACCCCUGUGAGGGGAGUGAAAUAGAACCUGAAACCGUGUACGUACAAGCAGUAGGAGCACCUUCGUGGUGUGACUGCGUACCUUUUGUAUAAUGGGUCAGCGACUUAUAUUCAGUGGCAAGGUUAACCAUCUAGGGGAGCCGUAGGGAAACCGAGUCUUAACUGGGCGCCAUAGUCUCUGGAUAUAGACCCGAAACCGAGUGAUCUAGCCAUGGGCAGGUUGAAGGUUGAGUAACAUCAACUGGAGGACCGAACCGACUAAUGUUGAAAAAUUAGCGGAUGACUUGUGGCUAGGGGUGAAAGGCCAAUCAAACUCGGAGAUAGCUGGUUCUCCCCGAAAGCUAUUUAGGUAGCGCCUCGGACGAAUACUACUGGGGGUAGAGCACUGUUAAGGCUAGGGGGUCAUCCCGACUUACCAACCCUUUGCAAACUCCGAAUACCAGUAAGUACUAUCCGGGAGACACACGGCGGGUGCUAACGUCCGUCGUGGAGAGGGAAACAACCCAGACCGCCAGCUAAGGUCCCAAAUUACAGCUAAGUGGGAAACGAUGUGGGAAGGCUUAGACAGCUAGGAUGUUGGCUUAGAAGCAGCCAUCAUUUAAAGAAAGCGUAAUAGCUCACUAGUCGAGUCGGCCUGCGCGGAAGAUGUAACGGGGCUAAGUUGUAAA